rnacentral:rRNA from 1 species
CCCUUAGAUGUUCUGGGCCGCACGCGCGCUACACUGGGUGCUUCAGAAUGAUUAUUAGCCUGGUCCGUCGUGGUCUAGGUAAUCACUGAAUGGCACGCCAUACCUGGGAUAGAUUAUUGCAACUAUUAAUCUUCAACGAGGAAUUCCUAGUAGGCACGAGUCAUCAGCUCGUGCCGAUUACGUCCCUGCCCUUUGUACACACCGCCCGUCGCUCCUACCGAUUGAAUGCUCAGGUGAGCCAUUCGGACUUUCAUCAUGCUGGUUUCCAGUUUUGAUGAAGGAAAGUCUUGCGAACCUUAUCAUUUAGAGGAAGGAGAAGUCGUAACA